rnacentral:rRNA from 1 species
UACGGGGGGGGCAAGCGUUGUUCGGAAUUACUGGGCGUAAAGGGCUCGUAGGCGGCCAACUAAGUCAGACGUGAAAUCCCUCGGCUUAACCGGGGAACUGCAUCUGAUACUGGAUGGCUUGAGUUCGGGAGAGGGAUGCGGAAUUCCAGGUGUAGCGGUGAAAUGCGUAGAUAUCUGGAGGAACACCGGUGGCGAAGGCGCUCUGCUAGGCCGUAACUGACACUGAGGGACGAAAGCUAGGGGAGCGAAUGGG